UCAUUUAAUGUUCUUGCCAGGAUUUGGAUGAAAAGACUGAUUGAAGAAAUACCUUGAUCUGAUUGUAAAGAUUGGUAAAUGGCAGAUGAAGUGGCAGCAGGCCAAGCAAGGUAGCCCAGUCAAUCUUCUACUCAGCUACGUCCUUCAACUCAUCCUGGGGGAUCCAAACAUGUUCCCAGACCAGGUGGAAUAUGUAAUCUGCCCCGCUGUCUACUUCCAUUUGGACAUGCCCAGAAAACCUCUGAAGGAAGGUGUUCAGGAGAUUAGAACAGAUGCUCAAAACACCUGAACUGGUUCUUUCUGACACAAAGGAGGACAAAACAUCAGUUAAUGCAGGUUUAAUGUUUUGUGCCACUGUGCUCAGAGAUAUCAGUUGAGCUAACAUCAAAAAAUGACUGUUUAAUUGCAUUUACUGAGACCAGGGUAUCACUGAACAUGCUGUCAGCUCAGAAGCAGUAAAACCUGUCAGUCACUCCGGAUAUCCAUGCAGUGGCCGAUGUGAGAAGCCGAAGAACCAACUACACUGGUUGGCGGCAGAGGAGGCUGCACUGCCACAUGGUUCAAAAUGAGUCUAGCAAACUUUGCUGCACUCAGCGCCGGACCACGGGAACAGAAAUGAGCAGUUUGUUUCCAAUACAGCUAGUUUUGCUCUUAGAUAACAUUAAGAAAAGAGUAACGUUUGUAGUUGGUCAUGUUAUUGUCCUGCAUUGCAAACCGACGUUUGAAAACAGACAAUAUUGAACUGUUUUUUUAAUUUUUUUUUCCAAAUUGAA